UUGUUUGUGGUCAAGCAUGUCUUGUUUGCUAGUUGCUAUGUCAGAAAACUGUUUGUAGACUUGUCAAAACAUGUUCUACUUUUAUCUCGUCUGGUUCCUUCAAAGCAGCAUGAAAAUUCUAUGUGGUUUUCUUUGUCACGAACACCAAGUGAUUAAGCAUAUUGAUCAUACGAGUACCAAAUAACCAGUCAUGAGUUCUUUAAACUAAUUAUGCAUUAAUGUACAUCAAGCAAGACUAGAAUUACUUCUUAAUUUGGUAUUAUGUGGACAGCGUAGCCUGUUGAUAGGUUAGUUAGAAAACACCUCCUACAUUUCAUUGUGUAUUAAAGGACAUGCAAACUGAAGGGAAACAUUUCUGGAGAACUUUGUUUAAAAAUCCAUACGACCGACUGAACACAGAAGACUUUCUUCUUCUUUUGACUCCUGUUUUUCAACAGAUUUUAACCUGAUUCAGCUCCAUUUUUCAGGGCUGUAAGCUGAACUGCUGUGGGUGAACCAGCCAACUAACCAGUAGGGACUUGAACCACUGCAGGUGAACCAAACAACCACUCCUCAGUCACACAGAAAAAUCUGG